GACGGAGGAUGCAAGCGUUAUCCGGGAUGAUUGGGCGUAAAGCGUCCGCAGGUGGCAGUUCAAGUCUGCUGUCAAAGACCGGGGCUUAACUUCGGAAAGGCAGUGGAAACUGAACAGCUAGAGUAUGGUAGGGGCAGAGGGAAUUCCUGGUGUAGCGGUGAAAUGCGUAGGAGAUCAAGGAAGAACAUCGGUGGCGAAGGCGCUCUGCUGGACCAUAACUGACACUCAGGGACGAAAGCUAGGGGAGCGAAUGGGG
rnacentral:rRNA from 1 species